rnacentral:lncRNA from 14 species
AAAAUCCCCGUUGUUGGCUUAUCCCAGAAAGUGAUUCAUCCUCCCCACGGGAUCUGGACUUGCCUCCGCAUGUUUUGCAAUGCUGCCUGGCUUUAUAACAGCCUGGUUGCAUGUGGUGGCUCCUCACUGGCUUCUCUGCUCGCCUUUGAGUGAGGAGGCAGCAGCUCAUCCUCCUCACGAUGAUUUUCCUCCUGCAGCAUCUCUUCUUGCUGGCCACAGACUUACUGCUCGCGACGACCUUUUCCUGCCUCUUCUACGUCUUCGUAUGCAUUUGUAUUGCAUCUUUGGUCUGCAUCAUUAUCCUCUUCUCCUUUGGCAUUGUGGAGAGGAAUGUUGAUGUGAAAGGGAGAGCAAUUGUCAUUCUCGUGUCCAACAGCUCCAUUGGGAGGAUGUUUGCAAGGAACCUGAAUAAAGCAGGUUUCAGGGUGUCUGCUGCACACUGGCCUCCUCGAGAGAAGGGGACAGCUAUGGAAGAAGAGUGCUCCUCAGGCAUUGAGGUAGCCGAGCUCCACAUGACUGAGGAUGAGUACCAGAAGACAAUGAAAACCUUCAUAGAAAACCACUUGUCCCUGAAAGGGAAAAGAGCCUGCUCUGGUGGCUGUGCAAGGCCCCAGUAGACCCCAGUCCAUGGAGGAAGGCAAGGUAGGCCAAGGAAUGAGGGGGAGAAGGUCCCACCAAGUCACCUGGGGAGACAACACAGAUGAACAAGGGAGAGCAGACACUUGGACAGUGACCCGAGAGGAAGGAAUGUGUCUGAUUUUAACUUCUUCUGGAUUAAAAUACCUGAGCUCCCUCUUGUCUUCUUGCCUGCUGUGGGAUUCCUAAGAGCUGUCAGGUUGCAGCUUUGGCUGGCAGGCUGGGACAGGGUCCCUGGACCACACUGUGGGGACAUGGGACUGAACACAACCUG